UACGGGGGGAGCAAGCGUUGGUCGGAUUUACUGGGCGUAAAGGGCGCGUAGGCGGCCACCGCAAGUCAAUUGUGAAAUCUCCGGGCUUAACCCGGAAAGGUCAGCCGAUACUGCGGGGCUAGAGUGCAGAAGGGGCAACUGGAAUUCUCGGUGUAGCGGUGAAAUGCGUAGAUAUCGAGAGGAACGCCUGCGGCGAAUGCGGGUUGCUGGGCUGAGACUGACGCUGAUGCGCGAAAGCUAGGGGAGCGAACGGG
rnacentral:rRNA from 1 species